GCCACCAUAGCUCAGUUGGUAGAGCACCUCACUUGUAAUGAGGGGGUCGCGGGUUCGAGUCCUGCUGGUGGCU
rnacentral:tRNA from 1 species